rnacentral:rRNA from 1 species
ACACAUGCAGUCGAGCGGAGCAGGGGGGGUUGGUCCCCCGUUGUCGAGCGGGAGAGGGGAGAAACAUGCGGGCAAAACUGCCUGCAAUGGGGGAUACUCCGGGAAACCCCGGAUUAUACCCGCAUACGCCCUUCCUCUCAAAAGGCUGCAUCUUCAGACCUUGCCCUCUGUCACGGGCCGAUGGGCCAUCGGCUCAUUGGCGGGGUGAGAGCCUACCGGCUCAACAAUGCCUCGAUGGUCUGACAAGAUGAUAGGCCGAUCCGCCACUGUGACACUGACCCACCUCCCACACUCCGACGGGAGGGGGAAUAUUGGAAUCUGCCGGCAAGCAUGAUCCACUGAUGCAGCGUGUGUGAAGAAGGCUUUAAGGUUUUCAGAUCCUUUCACUCUGUUGGAAAAGAAGAACAAGUACCAACUAACUACUGGUACCUUGACACAACCUCACCACAAAGCUAACUCCUAACUACGUGCCGCGGCCAUACGGAUGGUGCAAGUGGUUAAUCGUUAAUUACUGAUUAUUGAAGCGUAAAGCGCGCGGUUUGAUAACCUUUAAUGUCUGAAGAUGUGUAAGAACACGGGGGCUCAUGGAGGGUCAUUGAUAACGAGGGGACAUGAUAGCGUGUGAGGGAAGGGAAAUUAAUUUCGUAUGUAGCAGAGAAAUAGAGAGAUAUAGGAAGACCAGUCAGGAAGGAAGGUGUCUGCUUUGUACAACACGGUCAGGGACGUGAGAAUGGGUGGCGAGCAGGCUUGGUUAGCUUGCUAGUUCGUGCAGUCAAUAAAGAAUGUUAAGUAUUAGGGGGGGUUCGCGCAUCAUUAGUGCAGCAGAUACAUCAAUCACUUCGCCUCGGGGGGAGGACGGCAAGAAGGUUAAUAAUAAAAAUAAUUGGGGGGGCCCCCCACCGGCGGAGCAGCAGGUGUUAUUAUUAGCAACAAGAAGAACCUCCUCACGUGUCCUCAUCACGCAGACAACUUUCCAGAGAUGGAUUUGCCCUUUGGGGCACUGGUGCCCAGGGGUGCAUGGUUGUUGUUCAGUUGGGUUGGGAGAAGUUGGGGUUAAUUCCGCAAACGAGCGCACCCCCUAUCUUAAUUUCCUACCUUCUGUUGGGCAAUCUAAGGGGAGACCCGGGGUCACACCGCGGGGAGAGGGGGGGAAGGUGUCAUGUUAUCACGCCCUAUGCCCCCGGGGACACACGUGUGCCACAAUGGGGUGCACAGAGGGGCACAACCCCGAGGGGGGGACAAUAUCUCACAACCGUUCUCAGUGUCGGGAUCAGAGUGCACAUCUCGACCCUGAAACGUCGGAAUCUAGAGUAAUCGAACUCCAAAUGUCGCGAGAAUGUUUUCCCGCCCCUACACACCCCCCCUCUCACCCCAUGAGAGUGGACACCCCAGAAGUGUGGAGUAACCCUUUCGGGAGGCAGCC